ensembl:misc_RNA Metazoa_SRP Metazoan signal recognition particle RNA
GCUGGGUGUGGUGGUGCACACCUGUAAUCCCAGGUACUAGGGAGGCUGAGGCAGGAGAAUCACUUGAACCCAGGAGGCGGAGGUUGCAGUGAGCCGAGAUCAUGCCACUGUACUCCAGCCUGGCAACACAGAGGUUGCAAUGAACCCACACGGUGCCACUGCACUCCAGCCUGGGCGACAGAGUGAGACUCUGUCUCAA